rnacentral:rRNA from 1 species
GAUGAACGCUGGCGGCGUGCUUAACACAUGCAAGUCGAACGAAGCACUUUAUUACAAUUUCUUCGGAAUGACGAUUUAGUGACUGAGUGGCGGACGGGUGAGUAACGCGUGGGUAACCUGCCUUAUACAGGGGGAUAACAGUUAGAAAUGACUGCUAAUACCGCAUAAGCGCACAGGAUUGCAUGAUCUGGUGUGAAAAACUCCGGUGGUAUAAGAUGGACCCGCGUCUGAUUAGCUGGUUGGUGAGGUAACGGCCCACCAAGGCGACGAUCAGUAGCCGACCUGAGAGGGUGACCGGCCACAUUGGGACUGAGACACGGCCCAAACUCCUACGGGAGGCAGCAGUGGGGAAUAUUGCACAAUGGGGGAAACCCUGAUGCAGCGACGCCGCGUGAGCGAAGAAGUAUUUCGGUAUGUAAAGCUCUAUCAGCAGGGAAGAAAAAAUGACGGUAC